GAGAGAGACCACGUGCUUAGACACUACUGUGGACCUCCUUCAGACUCCUUUUCCCCAGAAAAAAGCUAACUUCAAAGCUGAUGGGGUGGUCAUGGAUGAAGCAAACCAGUGAAAUGGAGAUUUGCACCCCUGGGCAGGAGACAGCAUGAAUUUUCUGUAGAGAAAAUUGGCAAGAACUUCUCAGCUGUGGAUAAAUAUUUCUACAGUGUUUUCAACACUAUCCUUUUAUAUGAGAUGUGCCUGUCAAGGAAGCAGGAGAGGGUGGAUAGCAUGAUGAGUGCCUUCCAACACUUUGUUUAUGUCUCUGUGGGGUGGAAGUAUUUUGUUAACUCUGUGCUCACAAUGUGGAUCAGUUGCUGCUGCCAACAUAAAUAUUUUCAAAUAUUUCACCAAGAAUUGCUGCGAAGCUACAGGAGAUUUUCUGCCUAUAUGACUGAGAUUGUGUCUCCUUUGAUUUCAACUUCAUUUAAUUUUGCAGAAGAGGCAAACACAAGAUGAGUAAUAGUGCAGCCCUCCAACUUGCAUUAUUGAUACUUCCAAAGUGUCCAGUUCAAACAGGGGCAGAAUGUUAACAGAACUGAGAGUAUCAGUCUAGUGGCUGAAGGACAAAAAUAAUCUGCCUUUUUGAUCUUUGCUGGUCAACAAAAGCAUGCUUUGCUUGCUCCGUAAGUCUUUCAUGUGAGAGAAAAUGGACAGAGAUGAAAACCCACGUCUGAUCUAACGCUUUUGCAAGCUGUGUUUUCGUACACCCACAGGAGAUGAAGAGUUCUGGCCUUUGAGAAUAAUGGACAAAGAUUUUGUUUGGAGAAGCUGGAUCAGACAGAGCUGGAAGACUGAUAGAUUGCUCUGACCACUGACUUGGAGUAUAUACAGCUAACUGAACCAAACCUGCAUUAACAGUCCCUCAUUGUCCAUGCGUCGCUCAGAUGACCAAGGCCAAACCCUACUAACCCUGGGCAGGACAGGAGCAUGGUGUGAAGUGAAGAGCAAGAGAAAGUUUCACAGGAUAAGUGAUGGCCAACUGAAGUUUCUCUUUUGUGAGAUGCCAAGCUUUGGUCAAAGGCAACCCAUGAGAGCAGAGUCUGCAUAUGACGACUUGCAUUGGGAUCUGCACUGAAUAUAGCACACAAUCCAUCUGCAAGUCGUUUCUCUUCACCUUUAUCCUGUGGGAAGUAGCGUUUGCCUAAUGCAGACAAAAUUCCUCCUCCUCACAAGGAUUCUUGCAGAAAGCAAAGCCAGAGAGCAAGGGCAAAUGGAGACAAGAUGUAGAUUACCUUGGACUCCCUGUUUUGAAACACUUGCCAAGCUCAUUGAGUGUGCUUUACAGACCUGACAGCUGCAUCUCUUUCAACUGUGGCAAUGCAGAGCAGCUCCUCCAGCUGAGGCUACAGGGACUCUGCUAUGCAGGACUUGAAGAGCGAGGGUGAGAAGCUCUACUUGUUCUCUGCAUCAAGUGGUAGAUGCUGGAGACCUUCCGAAGGAUGUGCAUGAGACUGCAGAUGUAGGCUGGGGCCAGUUUCCUUUGCCCUUCAGAACAUGAGGAAGUUAAGACAAAGAAAGUAUGCCUUUUCCAUUUGAUCUUUGUUUAUAUAUUUUGAUUUAAUAAUGGUAACUUUUCAACAAGCUCUGACUUUUGUCUUAUGAUAUAGACUGUUCCUAGAAUUGCAUGGCAACAAGCAGAAUCCAUUUUAAGGGUAGAUUUUCAUACUUAAUUUUAUUUAUGACAUGAACGUAAUACUGUGGUUUUAUAAUGAAUCUCACUAACACAUGAAAGACUGUUUAAGACAAUAAUAUGAGAAGUCCUCCUUUCAGUUCAGAUUCUGUGUGAGAGGGUUAAUGUCUGAGCACACUGGAGUCACCCCUGUGGAUUAAUCCAGUGGGCUCAGACCAGUCCUACUCAACUCUCCAAAACCAGCGUGAUAAUCAGCAAGUCUCUACACGGAGUUGACGAGUUAAGCAAUCACAAUGACUUGACCAUCAACUUGACCUUUAAGAUCCCUUCAGAAGAGAUUUGAUCCACACUGAUUUACUUUAUCUCUCAGACUGUAAGAUCUGUACUAAAACCCUGAUUGACCAGAAGUCUUUUUUUUUUUUUUUUUUUUUUUUUAUGCCUUACGUUAGCCAAUGGCCCAGUGUGAAAACAGUAAGUGAAAGUCACACCUUACUGAAUUCGAAGGGAGGACUGCUUUCAAUGGAGCUAGAAUUUCACCAAGCAAACCCCAUUGACAGUAUUUGGGUCUCACCUGUGUCUGAAGAGAUGUGAAAGCUUUUGUGGACCCCACAGUAUCACUAUGUAAAAUGUAUCUUGCAAGCUACUCUGAUGUCUUCAUGACACUAAUGUGCAUUUAA